UGCUUACACAUGCAAGUCGAACGAACCUUCGGGUUAGUGGCGGACGGGUGAGUAACGCGUGAGAAUCUGCCCUCAGGAGGGGGACAACAGCUGGAAACGGCUGCUAAUACCCCAUAUGCCGCGAGGUGAAAUGAAUUUCGCCUGAGGAUGAGCUCGCGUCUGAUUAGCUAGUUGGUGUAGGUAAUGGCUCACCAAGGCAUCGAUCAGUAGCUGGUCUGAGAGGAUGAUCAGCCACACUGGGACUGAGACACGGCCCAGACUCCUACGGGAGGCAGCAGUGGGGAAUUUUCCGCAAUGGGCGAAAGCCUGACGGAGCAACGCCGCGUGAGGGAUGAAGGCCUCUGGGCUGUAAACCUCUUUUAUCAAGGAAGAAGAUCUGACGGUACUUGAUGAAUAAGCCACGGCUAAUUCCGUGCCAGCGGCCGCGGUAAUACGGGAGUGGCAAGCGUUAUCCGGAAUUAUUGGGCGUAAAGCGUCCGCAGGCGGCCCUUCAAGUCUGCUGUUAAAAAGUGGAGCUUAACUCCAUCAUGGCAGUGGAAACUGUCGGGCUUGAGUGUGGUANGGGCA
rnacentral:rRNA from 1 species